GUUCUUCCAAUAUCCUCUUCUUCUCUCUUGCUCCAAGUUCCUUUCUCUUUUCCUUCUUUCUUUCCUUCUUUUCUCUUUUUUUCUUCUGAUAUCUCUUCUUAUUUUUCUACCAUAUACAUAUACAUAAUAUAAUAUAUAAUGUGUGGUUAAUGUUAAAAGUUAGUAAUAAAAUAUCUCAAAUGAUAUUUUUCUUACUACUAGACCAAUUGACUCAUUAUUGAUGUUACCAACUUGUUAACUUGGGUACUAAUUAAUAAAAACCAGUCUCUUUUAAUAAAGAUUGAUCUUUUAUGAGUUUAUUAAUUACUCUAUUGACCUCAACAUACAACUAAU
rnacentral:lncRNA from 1 species